rnacentral:rRNA from 1 species
UGGGGAAUAUUGCACAAUGGAGGGAACUCUGAUGCAGCGACGCCGCGUGAGUGAUGAAGGAAUUCGUUUCGUAAAACUCUGUUCUAUGGGAAGAAAAGGACUGUACCAUAGGAGAAAGCUCCGGCUAAAUACGUGCCAGCAGCCGCGGUAAUACGUAUGGAGCGAGCGUUGUCCGGAAUUAUUGGGCGUAAAGGGUGCGCAGGCGGCUUUACAAGUUGGAUGUGAAAUAUUGUGGCUCAACCACAAACGUGCAUCCAAAACUGCAAAGCUUGAGUUAAGGAGAGGUAAGUGGAAUUCCUGGUGUAGCGGUGGAAUGCGUAGAUAUCAGGAGGAAUACCGGUGGCGAAGGCGACUUACUGGGCUUAAACUGACACUCAGGCACGAAAGCGUGGGGAGCAAACAGG